UGGGGAAUUGUUCGCAAUGGGCGCAAGCCUGACGACGCAACGCCGCGUGGAGGAUGAAGAUCUUCGGGUCGUAAACUCCUUUCGAUCGAGACGAAUGGCCCUUGGGCUAAUCACCAGGGGAAUGACGGUACCGAGAGAAGAAGCCCCGGCUAACUCCGUGCCAGCAGCCGCGGUAAUACGGGGGGGCAAGCGUUGUUCGGAAUUACUGGGCGUAAAGGGCUCGUAGGCGGCCAACUAAGUCAGACGUGAAAUCCCUCGGCUUAACCGGGGAACUGCGUCUGAUACUGGAUGGCUUGAAUCCGGGAGAGGGAUGCGGAAUUCCAGGUGUAGCGGUGAAAUGCGUAGAUAUCUGGAGGAACACCGGUGGCGAAGGCGGCAUCCUGGACCGGCAUUGACGCUGAGGAGCGAAAGCCAGGGGAGCAAACGGGAUUAGAUACCCCGGUAGUCCUGGCCCUAAACGAUGAAUGCUUGGUGUGGCGGGUAUCGAUCCCUGCCGUGCCGAAGCUAACGCAUUAAGCAUUCCGCCUGGGGAGUACGGUCGCAAGGCUGA
rnacentral:rRNA from 1 species